UACGUAGGGGGCAAGCGUUGUCCGGAAUCAUUGGGCGUAAAGAGCGCGUAGGCGGCCCUGUAAGUCCGCUGUGAAAGUCAAGGGCUCAACCCUUGGAUGCCGGUGGAUACUGCAGGGCUAGAGUCCGGAAGAGGCGAGUGGAAUUCCUGGUGUAGCGGUGAAAUGCGCAGAUAUCUGGAGGAAUACCGGUGGCGAAGGCGGCAUCCUGGACCGGCAUUGACGCUGAGGAGCGAAAGCCAGGGGAGCAAACGGG
rnacentral:rRNA from 1 species